UAAUAUACAAAAUAUCACUUAAUGAUAACGUACGUUUUCACAUUUUUUAGAGAAAAAUGUGCAUUGUAAAGUCUGACUUAACCGAUAGGGAUUCAUCAAUUGCAAACAUCUAGGAAUCAAUCGUCUUUGAGACGGAAUGGUUUGAAGGUGAGCAGGAACCAGUAGGAGUGCUUUAAACUUCUAAAGGAGGAAUGUAAAAAACUAGUUUGUGGUUGAUCAAACUCUAUGCUAA